AAUGAACGCUGGCGGCGCGCCUAAUACAUGCAAGUCGAGCGAGAAGACGUAGCAAUACGUUUGUAAAGCGGCGAACGGGUGAGGAAUACAUGGGUAACCUACCCUAGAGUGGGGAAUAACUAGCCGAAAGGUUAGCUAAUACCGCGUACGCUCCUUGGACUUCGGUUCAGGGAGGAAAGCGAUGCCGAGGGUAUCGCGCUCUUGGAUGGGCUCAUGUCCUAUCAGCUUGNGGUGAGUAACGGCUCACCAAGGCUUCGACGGGUAGCUGGUCUGAGAGGACGAUCAGCCACACUGGCACUGCGACACGGGCCAGACUCCUAC
rnacentral:rRNA from 1 species